rnacentral:rRNA from 1 species
AGAGUUUGAUCCUGGCUCAGGAUGAACGCUAGCGGCAGGCUUAAUACAUGCAAGUCGAACGGUAACAGGUGUAGCAAUACAUGCUGACGAGUGGCAGACGGGUGAGGAACACGUACACAACCUCCCUCUUACUGGGGCACAACUCCGAGAAAUCGGGGCUAAUUCCCCAUAACAUUUCGAAAGGGCAUCUGAUCGAAAUUAAAACUCCGGUGGUAAGAGAUGGGUGUGCGUCUGAUUAGCUAGUUGGUGAGGUAACGGCCCACCAAGGCGACGAUCAGUAACUGGUGUGAGAGCACGACCAGUCACACGGGCACUGAGAUACGGGCCCGACUCCUACGGGAGGCAGCAGUAAGGAAUAUUGGUCAAUGGACGCAAGUCUGAACCAGCCAUGCCGCGUGAAGGAUGAAGGUCCUCUGGAUUGUAAACUUCUUUUAUCAGGGAAGAAAUGUCUCGUUUCUACGGGAUUUAACGGUACCUGAGGAAUAAGCACCGGCUAACUCCGUGCCAGCAGCCGCGGUAAUACGGAGGGUGCAAGCGUUAUCCGGAUUUACUGGGUUUAAAGGGUGCGUAGGCGGGUCUUUAAGUCAGUGGUGAAAUCCUCCCGCUUAACGGGAGAACUGCCACUGAUACUAUUGAUCUUGAAUUCAGUUGAGGUGGGCGGAAUGUGUCGUGUAGCGGUGAAAUGCUUAGAUAUGACACAGAACACCGAUUGCGAAGGCAGCUCGCUAAACUGACAUUGACGCUGAGGCACGAAAGCGUGGGGAUCAAACAGGAUUAGAUACCCUGGUAGUCCACGCCCUAAACGAUGAUUACUCGAUCUGUGCGAUACACUGUACGGGUCUAUGCAAAAGCAUUAAGUAAUCCACCUGGGGAGUACGACCGCAAGGUUGAAACUCAAAGGAAUUGACGG